rnacentral:rRNA from 1 species
UACGUAGGGUGCAAGCGUUAAUCGGAAUUACUGGGCGUAAAGCGUGCGCAGGCGGUUGUGCAAGACAGAUGUGAAAUCCCCGGGCUUAACCUGGGAACUGCAUUUGUGACUGCACGGCUGGAGUGCGGCAGAGGGGGAUGGAAUUCCGCGUGUAGCAGUGAAAUGCGUAGAUAUGCGGAGGAACACCGAUGGCGAAGGCAAUCCCCUGGGCCUGCACUGACGCUCAUGCACGAAAGCGUGGGGAGCAAACAGGAUUAGAAACCCCCGUAGUCC